GUCACGGCUAACUACGUGCCAGCAGCCGCGGUAAUACGUAGGUGACAAGCGUUGUCCGGAUUUACUGGGCGUAAAGAGCGCGCAGGCGGUCGUUCAAGUCGAGUGUGAAAGCCCCCGGCUCAACUGGGGAGGGUCAUUCGAUACUGAUCGACUCGAAGGCAGGAGAGGGAAGUGGAAUUCCCGGUGUAGUGGUGAAAUGCGUAGAUAUCGGGAGGAACACCAGUGGCGAAGGCGACUUCCUGGCCUGUUCUUGACGCUGAGGCGCGAAAGCUAGGGGAGCAAACGGGAUUAGAUACCCCGGUAGUCCUAGCCGUAAACGAUGGACACUAGGUGUUGGUGGUAUCAACCCCGCCAGUGCCGAAGCUAACGCAUUAAGUGUCCCGCCUGGGGAGUACGGCCGCA
rnacentral:rRNA from 1 species